AAUCGAUGCAAAAGAUCUUGGAAAGGGAACACCACUUCAUUCUGAAGUUUUUUUCGGACAAACGGAUGCCGUAAAAUUUCUCAUCGAACACGACGCUGAUAUUGAUGCUGUAGAAGAGGAUGAUAAUACACCACUGCAUGUCGCGGUUCAUACAGGUUACGUGGAAAUCGUUAGAUUAUUAGUCGAAAAUGGAGCUGAUUUGGACAUUGGAGAUGAUUUUGAUCGGUGUCCGAUUCAUUGGGCAGCGAAAAAAGGAAAAGGUGAAGAUUUUGCAAAUGGAAAAAACGACGAACUGCAGUAUUACAAUAUAACCAAAAUACUCAUCGACAACGGAGCCAAUUUAAAUGUUAGAGAUUAUGACAUCAUUUAUGUUGAUCAAGAAAUGAGGUGUUAGUUAUGUUCAAAUGUUGAUCCAACUAAAAUAAACAUG